UGAAGAGCCAAUCUGGACGUUCGCUACUACCCCACUGCGUUCUCAUUGGACGAAUGUGGCGGAGGCACUGUGACGUGGGCGGGCUUUCCUCCCACUAGAGCUACUUCAACCGCAAAUGCUCGAGCACUUCAGUUUUCUCGUCGCACUGGUGGAGUGAAGACUAGCUGAGCUAAUUCACAAUGAUCGUGAAUGAACUCUGAGGAAAAUUGUUAAUCUUACACUUGCACCCGAACUCUAAGAAAGCUCAAGGACGAGAGACUUUACAUAUUAUUCCCUCUAUGAACAAGGGCCUCGAAACGUGGGAAAACCAGUGGGACGUCCGGCUAUAUUCUACCUACAUUAAAGACUUUAAGCGGCUGUAAACGUAGUACAAAGUCGAAAUAAUUUCAAUACGAUAAACACUAUGAAAACUACAGGGAAAAGCACCGAAAUGUUGAAGCACAGGAAGAGACUGGCGGAACUAAACUCUAAACAAAGUCAACAUCUGGUGAGAACUGGCGGCGAGAAGCGAGUGUAUACAAGCAUGUAGAGCCUAGUGACAGCUCUGGACCCAGGGGUGAAGAGCCACUACCCUUCACAAUACUACAACUACUGGAACCUGUGAGAGGUAGUGGGGAGUAGAGGAGCGUCGCGCGGACAGUUGACGGCGCCUCUCACCCACAACACUUCCACACCCUAAAGGUAAGCUGUUAACGAAAGUGUUCUCACUGUUAUCUUGUGACAGCCGCCGGGGCUGUAAGGCAUGUAGUGCGGUUUUGCUAACUGUACAGUGCAGCUGUUCCUCUCAUGAGCAAUACGCAAGAUUAGUUCAGUCAAGUCAAAAAUUUUAUAAUUUUGAGCGGUGGUAGCAACUCUUGUACAAAAUAUAAAUUGUUUCUUACGAAUAUUUACCUGACCCCUAACCAGCUUGAGUAUAUAAACAUAUAAACGCAUUAAUUAAAUUUGACGUACAGCUGGCCAUGUGGUCACAGGUUGAACUAAAUAAACCCGUGAUGUUUCCCGUGAGCCACAGUUUCUCAGGACCUAUACGGACAUGCCACUUUCAUCAUCGCCAGCAGACGGCCAGCCACUCCAUGUGUUUCCCUCCCCCAAACGGCCAGGCUACCCUGCUCACAUCAAAGGAUAACUUCACCCUCAACACAUCUGGGUCAGCCGCCAUAUGAGGUAUUACUCUGUGAUCUUUUCCGUGUGUCACUUAAAAACACUUUCAUGACGCUGUCUGUGAUUUGUGUGUGUGUGUGUGUGUGUAUUUGAAGACUCAUAAGUACAUUUGGCAUAUUUUUUUAAAUGUACAUGUCCCCAUCAUUGUGCUUUAUGUCUGGGGAAGAGACCGUGUAAUAUAUUUGUAUAUUAUGAACAACUAAAUAAAAUGAACCACAUA